GGUACUAAUUGAUUUUUAACUGUCGCCCAAACCGAAAGACCAGCAAAGACUUACACAACAAAGUGAUUCAAUGUCUCGUUCCCAGAUCGUUCCUGCUGAGAUAAUUAUCGUCGAUUUGCGUAUCACUAUAUAGUUCGAAUCACUUUACCACUGCACCAAGUGUUUCGUUUUCUAGCCAUCUUUUUCUGGGUAACUCGUUUCAGUGUAAUACUCUCAACUGGGACCAGCUUCUUUCCUUAUUUACAUUGCUGUGCCAAUCGAUCUUCUAGUAUAUUCUAGUUUUUCAUAUUCCUUUUUAUAAAACCUGCCAGGAGGUUUGUGUUUUUUAAGACAUAAAUCAGUUACAUCACAUCUGACCAAAAAUUAGUCAUUGAUUGUUGAUUGCUACAUUACAUCCAUCUUCUAACUUUAUAUUACAGUAUCAACUGACACAUUGUGCUCUAUUCAACUGUAGCAUGGUUUGAAAAUGUAAGCUCUUGAGGAGGGGGUAUACACAUAAAGAUGUUUUAAUUAUGGAGCUCAAGCAGCAAUGAAAAACAAUGCUUAGCUAAAACUGGUUUUAGCGAAGUUUUCAAGCUUGCUUGUCUUGUUGUUUGAACAUUCCUCAUUUUAUACUUGGGCCACUCUGACAGUUUCUACAACAUUUGAAUGAAAGAAAUCCAAAUUUUUCCGUGGAACUCUCAUGCUCAAGCCUCCAUAGCCCCACUUGUGACGAUGACUCAGUUCCAGUCCCACAAAAAGGAAAGGCGACUCGACAUUUUGAUGACGUGCAGGUGUUGCCCAUUGAGGGGUUUUGGUGACAAGGAGUCACUGAACGAAACGCUAAACCAAAUGAAAAAAAAAUAAUAUUAAAAAAUGUAAUGCUAGAUACGACAUGAAGCUUUUGCUUUCGCAGAAAAUAACGUGAAUUUGUUUACAGCCAACGAUCCUUUAUAGAUCCGAGCCGAGUCCUUUCCGUCUACAUUCGGUGUGAAGAGCAUAACCCAAAUUUCAACACAUUUUACUGCUUAGCAACGAAAACAAAGCGAGUGUCAAAACAUUGUUUUACUUGCGCAUACUUUAUUGUGGCAGAAACGCGUUGGUUAUGUAACAGGGUGAAUUUUUUCCCCCUUUUGUUGAUGCAGCAUCAAACGACACGGUUCCGGUGGUCAUCAACUAUUCAAGAUGGUAGACCUGUCAAUGUAAAAGACAGGAUUUUCUUCUCCGACCGCAGGUGCAAGGAUUAUGUGUUUGAAACUUAGAUAAGUUUGCAGUAGAAUAUUAAAAAAAAAUGCCGACUGUCCUUCAAUGGCUUCAAACGGUUCGAAAUGGAAGAUUUAUUCAUUCACCGAAGAAACGAGUCAAAUGACUCAAAUGUCAAAUGUGGUAUUUUUUAAGUGACUAAAAUUUAAGCCAUUAUCAUUUAUGAUUUGAUAUUUAUUUUGAUAUGGGUUUUUGUAGACCCAUCCCUAGCAAAGUCAACCUGCAGAAAGAAAAAGGCCAGUUUCUAUGGCCUUGACGCUCGAAGGUCACGGAGAUCAUUACGUAAAACGUGUCAUGCAGUAGUGUAGAGGUUGGGUGAGAACGACACGUGUUGCUUCAUUAUCAAAAAGGUCCAAUAGUCGCAAGACUUAGGAGGUGAGGGUGAGAAAAAAAUCGUAUAAAAGGAGAGAGAAAAGGUGAUUGAUACCAGUCGAGUGAACAUCUCCGACACGGCAACAACUCCAUUCUUCGUCGUAAUUUCAGUUCGCAAUCAUGGGUUAAUGUUCAUUUUUAUUUCUAGUCGUAAAUCAAUUCUAUCUUGUUUUCAGUUGUUGACAUGGCUAGUUAAUAAUUUUCAAAUUGUGUAUUGUAUAGUUAAUUAUGGCGUUGUCUUGCUGCCGGGUGUUGUAUCGUUGAUGUCGACUACGAGGACUGCAUAAAAGGAAAGAGAAAAGGCGACAGAAGUCAAUCAAGUGUGCAUCUCCGACCCGGCAAUAACUUCAUUCUUCGUCGUAUUUCCAGGUCGUAAUCACGGUUAACUAUGGCGUCAUGCAGCUAUUGGUUGUUUCGUCGAUAUCUGGGUGGACCACUGGUGUGCUGAUGCCCCUGGGUAUGGCGGAUACCAAACCGCAACGCCGCCGCCUUACUACACAACAACAUACGCAACGACCAGUUACUACACCGAGAACGCACAGUUAGGUUUACAGUUACACCGCCAAGGGUCCAGGUGCACCACAACUUAUGCUGCUCUGAGCUACUACACCGCAGCUUCGAAGUAUUUUUCUUCCCCAAUCUACACUACCGAAGCGCAUGUGCACACCUCCGAGGCUCGCAAGUACUACACCAACCAAGGCACCUGAGAUUACACAGCUACGUAUGCUGUCCCAAGUACUACACCAAGGCUCCAAAGUACUACAGCACUAAGGCACCGGACUACUACACGACUAUACAUGCUGCUCAACCUACGACACCGAGGCUCCAGCUUAUUACACCACCAAAGGGGUCGAACACAGUGGCGCCCAAGUACGAUGGAAAUCAGUCGGGUGAGCUUCUCCACCACCCAACACGGCAGCCCCGAAGUUUCGAAUAAACUUCGUUUCAAACAGUGGUACGGCGAAGAGCGAAGUCUCUUUUUCGAACAAGACGAAUUCUAUUGCAAUCCCUUCAAGCUAACGGUGGCGUUGCAGUCGUACAAUGACACCGCGUCGUUAAACUUGACAUUAUUGGUCGGAAAGCCGAACCUCAUGAUGGCCGUGCCAUCACCUACGACAAGUGCCUUGUAGGUGGUAAACGAAAAUCUUUGCCAGUCCUUGAGCGGUGUCCCUAAAGAUGUCCACGAGCAAUUGACGCUGUUCCACAACAUCUAUGGUCCAGUCCUCCCUAACUAUUUGAGACCAUGAACUUCCGAGAAGGUGGAAGCGGAAGACGUUAAUGAGUUGCCCAAAGCUAAUGUUAGGGGUGUAAGUUUGGAAGACGACAAGGUCGCAUUGACCUUAAACGAUGGUCAAAAGAUUUAAACUGACCAUGUCGUCGCUGCUGUCGGUUUGGACGUAAACACGGAUUUGGCUGUCGCUUCUGGAUUGAAAAUAGAUUCCAAUUUUGGUGGCUAUCGAGUCAAUGCUGAGCUUGAAGCACUACCAAAUGUCCGGUUGGCUGGAGAUGAUGCGUUUUUUUUUUGUGAUAGCAAAUUGGGUCGUCAUCGUAUGAAUCAUCACCACCGUGCUGUUGUGUCAGGGCGAUUGGCUGGAGAGAAGAAUACUGGCAACGAAACAUGGAUGAACAACUGAUGCAGUGCACUGUCACCAAGUGCAUUCUUCGUCGUAUUAUUAGUACGCAAUCGGUCAACUAUGAUGUCGUGCUGCUGUUGGUUGUUGUACCGUUGAUGACUGGGUUAACCUGGUGUACUCAUGUCUCCUGGGUAUGGCGGAUACCGAAACACAACGCCGCCGCCUUACUACACAAUAACAGCAUACAUACCAGUUACUAGACCGCCAAGGCACCAGAGUAUUACACCACACCUUAUAAUGCUCCGAGCUACUACACCGAAGCCCUAAAGUUUAACUCUGCCCCGAGUUACAUCAACGAAGAAGUCAAGUACUACACCGUACCUACACCGUUGGUACUGAUGUUGUGUUACCGAAGUUGCAUCAUAUUUUGUUAAAUUGUCAUCGUGGCUAUGGCAGUUUACCGUUUAUAAGUUCAGAAGCAACAAAAACAAAUAUGGGAUGUUUAUGUCAAACAAAUAAUAAACAAGUUUUGGGGGUUGGGAAGGAAAAGUGGUGGAUGUUGGAGGAUAUUUCAAGUUUGGAUAAAUAUUCAAUUAAUCUAUAACCCUACAUACGUAUCCCUACCAAUUAACCUCCAAACCCCACAAACAUAUGCCUUUUCUUCAAACCCCGAAAACAUACACCUACCAUACCAACCCUUAAAUCUAUACCCUCAACCCUAUAAACCAAUGUUAAACCUUAACCAUGUAACAUCUAUAAUAAAUAAAAAAAUACACUACAUGAAAUAA